rnacentral:rRNA from 1 species
GACGAACGCUGGCGGCGUGCUUAACACAUGCAAGUCGAGGGGGUUCGUGGGGCAACUCACGGAUCACCGGCGAACGGGUGCGUAACACGUGAGCGACCUGCCGUACCUGUGGGGGAUAGCCGGCCCAACGGCCGGGUAAUACCGCAUACGCUUGUCUUGGGGCAUCCUGGGACAAAGAAAGCUCUGGGGGCAACCCUGGGGCGCAGGACGAGGGGCUCGCGGCCUAUCAGCUAGUUGGCGGGGAACGGCCCACCAAGGCGGUGACGGGUAGCUGGUCUGAGAGGAUGGCCAGCCACAUUGGGACUGAGAGACGGCCCAGACUCCUACGGGAGGCAGCAGUGGGGAAUCUUGCGCAAUGGCCUAACGGCUGACGCAGCGACGCCGCGUGUGGGAGGACG